UAUAUUGGCAAACCUGUCGAAAGACAGGGACGCAAAGCCAGAUGGGUCUAACGCCCGCUCCCUCGGGAGCGUGUUAUGACAGCCGGUUGC
rnacentral:ncRNA from 1 species